rnacentral:tRNA from 1 species
AGGAGCUUAAGUUAAUAAAACUUCAGGUCUUCAAAACUUGUAUUAAGCUACCUAAGCUUAGCUCCUG